rnacentral:rRNA from 1 species
GGGGAUAACUACUCCAAAGAGUAGCUAAUACCGCAUGAGAUCUACGGAUGAAAGCAGGGGACCUUCGGGCCUUGUGCUACUAGAGCGGCUGAUGGCAGAUUAGGUAGUUGGUGGGGUAAAGGCUUACCAAGCCUGCGAUCUGUAGCUGGUCUGAGAGGACGACCAGCCACACUGGGACUGAGACACGGCCCAGACUCCUACGGGAGGCAGCAGUGGGGAAUUUUGGACAAUGGGCGAAAGCCUGAUCCAGCAAUGCCGCGUGCAGGAUGAAGGCCCUCGGGUUGUAAACUGCUUUUGUACGGAACGAAAAGCCUGGGGCUAAUAUCCCCGGGUCAUGACGGUACCUUAAGAAUAAGCACCGGCUAACUACGUGCCAGCAGCCGCGGUAAUACGUAGGGUGCAAGCGUUAAUCGGAAUUACUGGGCGUAAAGCGUGCGCAGGCGGUUUUGUAAGACAGUGGUGAAAUCCCCGGGCUCAACCUGGGAACUGCCAUUGUGACUGCAAAGCUAGAGUGCGGGCAGAGGGGGGAUGGAAUUCCGCGUGUAGCAGUGAAAUGCGUAGAUAUGCGGAGGAACACCGAUGGCGAAGGCAAUCCCCUGGGCCUGCACUGACGCUCAUGCACGAAAGCGUGGGGAGCAACAGGAUUAGAUACCCUGGUAGUCUACGCCUAACGAUGUCAACUGGUUGUGGGGUCUUAACUGACUCAUAACAAAGCUAACGCGUGAAGUUGACCGCCUGGGAGUACGGCCGCAAGGUUGAAACUCAAAGAAUUGACGGGACCGCACAGCGCGGAUGAUGUGGUUUAUUCAUGCACGCUAAUAACCUUACCACCUUUGACAUGGCGGAACUAACCGAAUGGUUGGUGGCUCAAAAAAAACCUGCACACAGAGGCUGCAUGGCUUGUCGUCAGCUUCUGGU